rnacentral:rRNA from 1 species
UACGGAGGGUGCAAGCGUUAUCCGGAUUCACUGGGUUUAAAGGGUGCGUAGGAGGGCAGGUAAGUCAGUGGUGAAAUCUCCGAGCUUAACUUGGAAACUGCCGUUGAUACUAUCUGCCUUGAAUAUUGUGGAGGUGAGCGGAACAGAUGGUGGAGCGGUGAAAUGCGUAGAUAUCAUCUGGAACGCCAAUGGUGAAGACAGCUUGCUGGGGGUAUUCUGACACUGAGACACGAAAGCCAGGGGAGCAAACGGG